UAAAACUGUGAUGAGCCAUACAGACCUGUAAUGAUUUGCGAAUAUGAUCGCAAUUCUUUAUGAACAUCUAAGGGACUGAGUUUUU